GACAGAGGAUGCAAGCGUUAUCCGGAAUGAUUGGGCGUAAAGCGUCUGUAGGUGGCUUUUUAAGUCCGCCGUCAAAUCCCAGGGCUCAACCCUGGACAGGCGGUGGAAACUACCGAGCUGGAGUACGGUAGGGGGCAGAGGGAAUUUCCGGUGGAGCGGUGAAAUGCGCGAGAUAUCAGGAGGAACACCAAUGGCGAAGGGCAGGCUCUCUGGUACAUGAUUGACGCUGAGACGCGAAAGCGUGGGGGAGCGAACAGG
rnacentral:rRNA from 1 species